GAUGAACGCUGGCGGCGUGCCUAAUACAUGCGAGUCGAGCGAACAGACGAGGAGCUUGCUCCCCUGACGUUAGCGGCGGACGGGUGAGUAACACGUGGAUAACCUACCUAUAAGACUGGGAUAACUUCGGGAAACCGGAGCUAAUACCGGAUAAUAUAUUGAACCGCAUGGUUCAAUAGUGAAAGACGGUUUUGCUGUCACUUAUAGAUGGAUCCGCGCCGCAUUAGCUAGUUGGUAAGAUAACGGCUUACCAAGGCAACGAUGCGUAGCCGACCUGAGAGGGUGAUCGGCCACACUGGAACUGAGACACGGUCCAGACUCCUACGGGAGGCAGCAGUAGGGAAUCUUCCGCAAUGGGCGAAAGCCUGACGGAGCAACGCCGCGUGAGUGAUGAAGGUCUUCGGAUCGUAAAGCUCUGUUAUUAGGGAAGAACAAAUGUGUAAGUAACUAUGCACGUCUUGACGGUACCUAAUCAGAAAGCCACGGCUAACUACGUG
rnacentral:rRNA from 1 species